GAUGAAGAACGUAGCGAAAUGCGAUAAGUAAUGUGAAUUGCAGAAUUCCGUGAAUCAUCGAAUCUUUGAACGCAUAUUGCGCCCAUUAGUAUUCUAGUGGGCAUGCCUGUUCGAGCGUCAUUAAGUCCACUUAAGCCCUGCUUAGUGUUGGGAGACUGCUCCAGCGGUGCUACCCUGUAGCUACCCUGCAGCUCCUCAAAGACAGCGGCGGAGUUGUGGUAUCCUCUGAGCUUAGUAACUUGUUCUAGCUUUCGAGUACACCACUUCCCCUGCCGUAAAACCCUUAAUUUUUAAUGGUUGACCUCGGAUCAGGUAGGAAUACCCGCUGAACUUAAGCAUAUCAAUAAGCGGAGGA
rnacentral:misc_RNA from 1 species